ACUGCUCAGUAACACGUAGUCAACAUGCCCAGGGGACGUGGAUAACCUCGGGAAACUGAGGAUAAACCGCGAUAGGCCAAGAUUUCUGGAAUGAAUCAUGGUUUAAAUCUAUAUGGCCCCUGGAUUGGACUGCGGCCGAUCAGGCUGUUGGUGAGGUAAUGGCCCACCAAACCUGUAACCGGUACGGGCUCUGAGAGGAGGAGCCCGGAGAUGGGCACUUAGACAAGGGCCCAGGCCCUAUGGGGCGCAGCAGGCGCGAAACCUCUGCAAUAAGCGAAAGCUUGACAGGGUUACUCUGAGUGAUUUCCGCUAAGGAAGUCUUUUGGCACCUCUAAAAAUGGUGCAGAAUAAGGGGUGGGCAAGCCUGGUGUCAGCCGCCGCGGUAAUACCAGCACCCCGAGUGGUCGGGACGAUUAUUGGGCCUAAAGCAUCCGUAGCCGGUUCUACAAGUCUUCCGUUAAAUCCACCUGCUCAACAGAUGGGCUGCGGAGGAUACUAUAGAGCUAGGAGGCGGGAGAGGCAAGCGGUACUUAGUGGGUAGGGGUAAAAUCCGUUGAUCCAUUGAAGACCACCAGUGGCGAAGGCGGCUUGCCAGAACGCACUCGACGGUGAGGGAUGAAAGCUGGGGGAGCAAACCGGAUUAGAUACCCGGGUAGUCCCAGCUGUAAACGAUGCAGACUCGGUGAUGAAUAGGCUUCGUGCCUAUUCAGUGCCGCAGGGAAGCCGUUAAGUCUGCCGCCUGGGGAGUACGGUCGCAAGACUGAAACUUAAAGGAAUUGGCGGGGGAGCA
rnacentral:rRNA from 1 species